GACGAACGCUGGCGGCGUGCUUAACACAUGCAAGUCGAACGAAGAGCGAUGGAAGCUUGCUUCUAUCAAUCUUAGUGGCGAACGGGUGAGUAACGCGUAAUCAACCUGCCCUUCAGAGGGGGACAACAGUUGGAAACGACUGCUAAUACCGCAUACGAUCUGACCUCGGCAUCGAGGAUAGAUGAAAGGUGGCCUCUAUUUAUAAGCUAUCACUGAAGGAGGGGAUUGCGUCUGAUUAGCUAGUUGGAGGGGUAACGGCCCACCAAGGCGAUGAUCAGUAGCCGGUCUGAGAGGAUGAACGGCCACAUUGGGACUGAGACACGGCCCAGACUCCUACGGGAGGCAGCAGGGGGGAAUCUUCCGCAAUGGACGAAAGUCUGACGGAGCAACGCCGCGGGAGUGAUGACGGCCUUCGGGUUGUAAAGCUCUGUUAAUCGGGACGAAAGGCCUUCUUGCGAAUAGUUAGAAGGAUUGACGGUACCGGAAGAGAAAGCCACGGCUAACUACGUG
rnacentral:rRNA from 1 species